GCAAGAAACACAGCAGCGCCACUAUCCACCAGCUCUUCCACUUAGUCUGAGCCAUGGUCUUGAUGCAACACAACAAAAGAAAGGAAACCUCAAAGCAUAAGUCCCAAACUGUCUGAGAAUGAUGUCUUCUUCACUGCAGGUUUUAGGGCUUGUAUUGAUGACACCAGUAAGAAUAUGUACGGAGUGGGAGAGACCUGGGUGAACAGCGCAUGGCAAAUAACCCUAACCCUACCCCAAAGGAAAACAAAACGCAGCUGGACGCUGCCAACGUGCAUAGCAGCGCCACUGGAUAAUGAAUCUGGAGAUUUACAAUGACAGAUUUGAGCCACCAUGUUGAACGAUCGUGAUUAAUCAAAUGAUGGGACUCACUUCACACAAUGUCAUGAAAUUAUUCAAUUAACAAUAAAGCAAUACUGAA